AUCACGGACUCUCUCUAGCCCACUCCCAGAGGCAUCAAUCUUCUCCACCUUCCGCAGUACGUUCUCAAACUGCCCACAAGGUCAAUAGGACGUGUGUGUGCCUCACAGCAGCCAGCAGUGACUGGAGGUUCAUCUGUGUUCUGCCUCAUCACCCUUCUCUUUCGAGGGACUAACUGACUCUCAGGACUCUAAGAACCACGCGUGUCUGGAACCUCCGAGUGUCAGGAUCUUAGUUCCCAGCCGGUGGGGAAAUUACAAACCUGCUCUCCAUUGAACAGAGGGAAGAUUCUAAAGUCAACGAUGACAACCAGCUCUCAAACAUAGCCUGGGUUUAUUGACUUAGAAUGAAUCACCUGUGCUGCAGCCCCUUGCGUCAAGGAGCUUAUCUGAAUGGGUUCAUCUCCAAGUAG